rnacentral:rRNA from 1 species
CUACGGGUCGCUGCAGUGGGGAAUAUCGCACAAUGGGCGCAAGCCUGAUGCAGCCAUGCCGCGUGUAUGAAGAAGGCCUUCGGGUUGUAAAGUACUUUCAGCGGGGAGGAAGGGAGUAAAGUUAAUACCUUUGCUCAUUGACGUUACCGCAGAAGAAGCACCGGCUAACACCGUGCCAGCAGCCGCGGUAAUACGGAGGGUGCAAGCGUUAAUCGGAAUUACUGGGCGUAAAGCGCACGCAGGCGGUUUGUUAAGUCAGAUGUGAAAUCCCCGGGCUCAACCUGGGAACUGCAUCUGAUACUGGCAAGCUUGAGUCUCGUAGAGGGGGGUAGAAUUCCAGGUGUAGCGGUGAAAUGCGUAGAGAUCUGGAGGAAUACCGGUGGCGAAGGCGGCCCCCUGGACGAAGACUGACGCUCAGGUGCGAAAGCGUGGGGAGCAAACAGGAUUAGAUACCCUCGUAGUC